AUCCAGGGCUANAAUUAACCGCGGCGCCAGGCUUUACNCAUGCAUGKCGARCGGURRCWGGGRARCUUGCUCUGSUUGACGAGCGGCGACGGGUGAGUAACGCGUAKGAAUCUGCYUAGUAGAGGGGGACAACAUGUGGAAACGCAUGCUAAUACCGCAUACGCCCUAAGGGGGAAAGGAGGGGACUCUUCGGAGCCUUCCGCUAUWAGAUGAGCCUGCGUGAGAUWAGCUAGUUGGUAGGGUAAAGGCCUACCAGGCGACGAUCUCUAACUGGUCUGAGAGGAUGACCAGUCACACUGGGACUGAGACACGGCCCAGACUCUACGGAGGCAGCAGUGGGGAAUAUUGGACAAUGGGCGCAAGCCUGAUCCAGCCAUGCCGCGUGUGUGAAGAARGCCUUAGGGUUGUAAAGCACUUUCAGGGGUGAGGAAGGGUAAUGGAUUAAUACUUCAUUACUUUGACGUUAGCCCCAGAAGAAGCACCGGCUAACUCUGUGCCAGCAGCCGCGGUAAUACAGAGGGUGCAAGCGUUAAUCGGAAUUACUGGGCGUAAAGCGCGCGUAGGUGGUUUGUUAAGUCGGAUGUGAAAUCCCAGGGCUCAACCUGGAAUGGCACCCGAUACUGGCUAGCU
rnacentral:rRNA from 1 species